rnacentral:rRNA from 1 species
GCAAGUCGAACGGUAACAGGCUAAUGUGAUCCCUUCGGGGUGAACUGUGCGCUGACGAUUGGCGGACGGGUGAGUAAUACAUAGGAAUCUACCCAGUAGUAGGGGAUAACUUGGAGAAAUCCAUGCUAAUACCGCAUAUGCCCUACGGGGCAAAGCAGGGGACCCUCGGGCCUUGCGCUAUUGGAUGAGCCUAUGUCGGAUUAGCUAGUUGGUAGGGUAAUGGCCUACCAAGGCUACGAUGGGUAGCUGGUCUGAGAGGAUGAUC